UACGUAGGAGACGAGCGUUGUCCGGAAUUACUGGGCGUAAAGCGCGUGUAGGCGGAUGAGCAAGUCUGCUGUGAAAGCUCCUGGCUUAACCGGGAGUGGUCGGUGGAAACUGCUCGUCUGGAGGACGGUAGAGGUAGGUAGAAUUCCCGGUGUAGUGGUGAAAUGCGUUGAGAUCGGAAGGAACGCCCGUGGCGAAAGCGAGGUCCUGGACGCCUGCUGACGCUGAGACGCGAAAGCCAGGGGAGCGAACGGG
rnacentral:rRNA from 1 species